GUACCUAAAGUCGGUAACCGCAAGGACGCCGCCUAGGGUAAAACUGGUGACUGGGGUG
rnacentral:rRNA from 1 species